rnacentral:rRNA from 1 species
UACGUAGGGGGCAAGCGUUGUCCGGAAUCAUUGGGCGUAAAGAGCGUGUAGGCGGUCCGGUCAGUCGGUUGUGAAAGUCCAGGGCUCAACCCUGGGAUGCCGGUGGAUACUGUCGGGCUCGAGUCCGGAAGAGGAGUGUGGAAUUCCUGGUGUAGCGGUGAAAUGCGCAGAUAUCAGGAGGAACACCAAUGGCGAAGGCAGCACUCUGGGACGUGACUGACGCUGAGACGCGAAAGCGUGGGGAGCAAACAGG